CACAAAGAUUGGUAGUAUGUUGAAAAAUGUAGUCUUAACAAAAGUUAAAAAGGAAAUAAAUUUCCCUCAAGGUAAGAAUGCCUUGAAUGGGCAGAAAACGGCAAUCACGCGCAUGUUAUUUUGCUCUAAGCCAAGCAUCACUAUAUAACAUUCCUUGCUGAACAUAGAGAGAUGGAAAGACACUAUUAAAAUGAGGGGUGCACCGAAAUUUCGGCGGACGAAAUUUUUUGCCGAAAAUUGACCUAUUCAAUUUCGGCCAAAAAUCUGUAAAAUCUGCCGAAAAUUAAAAUUCCUAUUGACA